rnacentral:lncRNA from 1 species
AGUGGAGAGUGAGUUUCAUGACGGGAGAUCGUCUUGUUAAAAGUAGCCCGCCUCAUUGCCUCCGAUAUUUGGUUGGUACUGCUCUUAUGUCAGAAGACCUCGAGAACCGAGCAUCAUCUCAAUAGCCACUCAAAAGCUUCGACCGUGUGCGGUCUUGUUACACAGGAUCGAAUAUAUGUUCAGGGCACGCGUCGGCAACGAUCCUAAACUAUAUUUGGAAAUAUGUUUUUUUAAUUCGUAUAUAUAAUAUAUAUUUGGUCCUUUUUUAAGGAUCAAUUUUUAAAAUAUUAUAUGAAAGUAUUCGAAGCAGAAAAGUUCAGCUAAUAUUCCUGUUAAUCAUGGUUUAUUUAUUAUACCCAAAAAGUGUUAUAAUUUACGAAUAAAUUUAGUUUGAAUUAGAAUGAACAAUUGAUCAAUUUCGACUGGUCCGAAUGUUUUCCAAAAUACCAACUUAAUCUUACCAGAAAUCAGGAAAAGACGAAGUGGUGGAAUAAAUAGGACGAUAAUAGAGAAAAGGGAACAGAUGAUAUUCUCGUAGCAAGGAUUUAUUUGUUCUCGCGGACCUCUUAUAUGCCAGGAACGUACGAAUCUGAUUCAACCGUAGUGGCCCGAAGGCGAGUAACUGCGGAACCAACCACCACCAUCAUCACCGCCACCACCACCUGGGGAUCCCCCAAGCGCAACUUACCGCUUAGAUUUUAUUCCUUUUUACAUAUGCCAACGGACUCUCGGCGAUAAGAAAAUGCCCCUGAUAUUUCACGUUUUUAUAUGCGCCCGUUUUGCCUUGAGGUGUUGGCUGGGCUACUCGCAUCCUAUACAAUCCCCACUCCUACCACGAAACCCCACACCAUUCUCUAUAGGAAUGUUAUGUACCACCACCGGAAAUUCUCCAGUCCUGAUAUGCGAAAUAAGUAGCCUCUGGCAUUGGAAUACUUGGGGAGAAUGUCUCUCAUUAACUCAUCCUUCUAAUCCAUUUUUUUAUCUUCCUAAAGAUUUUUCUUCAAUUCUUUAGGAUUUUACUACAGGUAACUAUCACCCAAUAAAAAAAGCUCCUACAUUAUGAGGUAUAAUAACAAAUUUGUUUAAAUACAGGAAACAUCUUAAUCAAUAGUCUGCAUUUGGUGAUGUCUGGUGUCAGAUUUGGGUAUACAGUUCCAGAAUAUUGAUCUAGAAUAAUCUCUAGAGAACAUCGAACGGAACCUUAAGAAUGACUCCCUGGAGACCUCUGAAAGAGAAGAGUCAGCCUAGAAGCAACUCCCCCCCGUCCCCAUCUCUACUACUACUAUUACUACUACUACUACGAGCAACAGGGAACGUCUGCCAAUGUCGAAAACACGUGUGGUGUUCCAGGAUAGCGUAGAUACAACAAGCAGACCAGGUUAGAAUCGUCUGACCCAUUUGCAACGUCACCCGGACAAUUUCCAGCCAGCAAAGUUCCAUCUUCGGGGCUUCAGGGCCAAGCGCAGGGAGCUCCCGUGAUAUUAGAACAAACGAUUUCAUCUUCUCGAUUCCGCCUACUACACACCAAGACAAGAUCCCCUCUUUCCCUCCUCCUAAACAUCUUCAUCCUUUCUCUACCAAAAUUUCCUUUCCCCUAUGUCCUACCGAAACAUCCAAAAUAUACUUGUUGUUCUACUGUUUAAGCGUAGACUCCGGAUGUUUCUUGGUGUUGAACAGGAUUUCUAUGUGGAUUGUUACUCAUGUGUUUCGUUAAAUCUUAUCUUUUGUAGGGUUGGUGUGUGUAAACCCGUUUAGUCGAUAUCAGAUUUUCUACCGAGAUUUUUUAUCUACAGCUAUUUACUAUAUUGAAGUUAAUGAUACAUUGACUGUUCUUAACUGUAUAUUACAAAUAAAACUAAAAUAAUUUAAAUAAUAAUUAAAUGUAAAGA